UUUGAAGUACAUCUCACAGGAUGGAUAUUCAUCAAUUCAGUGUUCUAUAAGGUCGUUAUUUUUCAGUUUGUGUGCUAUUCAAUCGGUAAGUUAAAUAUUUAGUACCUCAUUCAAAUGAUUGAAAUUCUUUGAAAUUCAUGUUUAGGAUAUAAUACGUCUUCUGUUGGACAGAUGGAACAUCAAGAAUUGUUUAAAAAACUGCUCCCCGCUGGGAGACUAGGUGCAAGAAUUUGGAAAACCACCUUCAUCAUUUAUUGUUGGGACACUUGGGCGACAGUUGGAUUAUCCUGUCCGAAAAAGUCUUCAUAGUUCAUACCAUUUUAUCUGUGCUGCAAUUUACUAAAGACAUCAUCGAUCACCCCCUAACAGAAAGCACACGAACGACCGAUCUCGAAAAAAGAUGAGGCAGAGAUCGAAGCUCUUCCGGUUCCAGCAAUUCUAGAUUGAAAAAUUUAAGCUGAAACGGAACUGGAGAUUGAAAAGGAUUCCUUUGGACCUAAGCUACCGUACAGCUGGCUCAGAAUUUGUUCCCCCGGGAAUGUACAUAGAUAGCUGUGAUGAAGCUGGGGCAGAAAAAGUCCCGAGACCGAAACAAUCUACGCCCUACGUACGAACGAUUUUCAAGGAGUUUUUGUAUUGCAUCUUAAAAUACAGAAAAUUUAAAUUUAAUUUUAAAGCUUAUAUUGCCACACUGAUCUUAUCACAUUCGCCAACAAGCUGCUAUAAACAAUACAACUUGAAAAAUUGAAAAAACAAUAACUAAAGAAAACAAAAUACGAGCAUAUAACAUUGCAUUGAUUCAUUUCACUACCCUGAAUAAUAAAUUUUAUCAUUAUGGCUCGAGUUAGAAAUCAUUGGAAAUUCUUAUAAAAUCAAUCUAUCCUCUACUGGUAAAAUGUAUUGGAUUUUCCUUUAGUGCGAAAACACUAAAAUU